AGUUAAUGAGCUUGUUAACUUAAGCAUAUACCUUGAAAGUAUAAGAAAGGAAAAAUGUUCCUAUUAACUU
rnacentral:tRNA from 1 species